GUGUCAGCCGCCGCGGUAAUACGUAGGGGGCAAGCGUUAUCCGGAAUUACUUGGGCGUAAAGGGUGAGUAGGCGGUUGGAUAAGUCAUAUGUGAAAGCCCGGAUCUUAAGUCCGGGACUGCAUAAGAAACUGUCUGGCUAGAGUACAGGAGAGGUAAGCGGAAUUCCUAGUGUAGCGGUGAAAUGCGUAGAUAUUAGGAAGAACACCAGUGGCGAAGGCGGCUUACUGGACUGAAACUGACGCUGAGUCACGAAAGCGUGGGGAGCAAACAGGAUUAGAUACCCUGGUAGUCCACGCUGUAAACGAUGAGUGCUAGGUGUUGGCCAGAGAUGGUCGGUGCCGGAGCAAACGCAAUAAGCACUCCGCCUGGGGAGUACGGUCGCAAGACUGAA
rnacentral:rRNA from 1 species